GAGUUAUUUCCUCCUUUUUUUUCCUAAAAAAGAUAGAGCUAUUUUCUACUUGGCGUCUUGGCGCGGACCCUGCGAGGGCCUGUCUCGAGCCCCCGCAGGCCCGGUGUAGCAGCCUCCCUGAGUGGUGUUGGCAUUCCGCCGAACACCUAGCGGGCGCACGCCACUGGUGCCACUCAGUUGCUGCAGUCGCCGGCGAACGGCGGCAGGCACACACAUCCGCAUUCCGCGAGGUGACCGGCUCGAGGAGCAGGCGCGCACCGGAGGAGCCUUUCUUCCCCGCUUCCGACGAUGGUAGCUGCCGCCGAGCCUCGGACGAUUCCGAGCUCGUCGCGCAUCUCCAUCCAAUUCCGGCUGCUAGUAGCAUCUCCCAGCCCCUCUCCUUCGUUCCCCACCCCAGUUUAUUCCGAGAGGAGCCGUAAUCGCAACCUUGCACCGCCGCCGCCGUCACGGAAAACUGCCUCGUCGCCAACCUCCUCCUCCCCCGCCUCGGCGCCCCUCCGAUUCGAGCUUAGGGUGACUCCUGUGUUGGGCACGUACUGAGCACGCAGCAGCAGCAGCUAGGAAGCUGGCCCGGCAUCUGCGCGACGGCAUGCGCAGCUCGACACAUGGAGGAGCCAUGGGCGGGCGCCGGCGCGAGACCGCAGCUCACGCGGGCGUUGCUCUGUGCCAGGCGCAGUCCGGUCCCGGCAGCGGUGCGCGUCAGAAUCGCCCCGAAUCUUGAUCCCAGGCCACGCCGCGCGCAGCAAGGCCGUCUCGAGCAAGUCAGCCGAGGAUGCCGCAGGCUAGGUCCGUGCCGUGUGGGCGGGGAGCGGAGAGCUGGGAGACGCAGGGAGCUCGUGGAGGUCUAAGGACGCGCGCGUGCCCGGCGACGGCGCUCUGACGCACCCAGAGCUUCCCGCCUUCCUGGGCCGACGCCUUCACGGUUGACGCUCCAGAGCUCAGGAACGCCAGUCGCUGUCUCGGCGAUGGGCAUGCACACAAGGUGCUCGACAGAAUGUACGAGCGAGAGACAGUAGUGUGUGUGCACGCUGAUGGGCGGGCCCUUUGUAUAUGCAUCUGUUGCUAACCGCUGGUUAGACUGAUUGGACGAUCAAGGAAUUGAUAUCUCUGAGUUGCUUGGGUUCAUACGGGAGUCAAGCGCGAUGAGUGAAUCCCUAGUUGACUAUGGAGAACAGAAGCCAUGUGCUGUAACUAGAACUACAGCAAAAACACUUGCAGAGUUCCUGGGAGUUUCAAUGGUUAAAGACAAAGGAAUGCACUGCCAAUAUAUAGUUGCUCGAGAGUCACAAGCCCCUCUAGUGAGCGAGUGUGCUGUUCCGGUGGCUGUUUUUGAGACAGAUGCUGAAAUUGCUAAGUUCAUUUACGAAAAUGGCGCAAAGUCUCCACGGAAGCAAACAUCUGAUUUACUCUUGAUUGGUCUCACUACAAGCAGCACCUAAGCUUGGUUAUUCAGAAGAUCAUAACCAUUCCUGCAGCAAUGCAAAAGAUAAUAUACAUUUCUUUUUUUGUUCCUGUUAAUUAUCUGCACCGUUUUGAGAUAUUCAACUCUACAGAUUUCAAAAUCCUGUUCCCUGAGUUCUUCCCCUUUCAUAGUUGAGGAGAGAUGGGCCUGGUCCCUUUGGGUUGCAGAGACUUUCCUGGCUGGUGUUUCAGUCUGGUGCUCCUAUGUGGGAGGUGCACUUUAAGUUAUUGAAUUAAUUUAGCAACAGAGUGUGUCUCCUUGACCCUUAGCUUCAGCUUGUAAGUCCAUAUGCCGAAUCAAGGCGAUAUUGGCCAAAGCAGUCCUGCUGGUCAUUCUUGUUAGCUAGUGCCUGCCUAUGAGAUCAAGACUUCAUAUAAAGUAGUUGGACUCUUACUGUGGUGCUAUGAUAGCUGCACCAGGUUUCAGUGUUCCAGAUGUCAUUGGAAACAAUUUCUUUUAGUAUAUUGUUUCAAGCAAUGUGCCAUCUAUGUUUUGUAUGGAUUAGAUAGACACACCUUAUGUUAUUUGGACUCAUCUAUUUUUCUUCUGUUAUGCUAGAGCUACAAAUGCAAUUGAGACUAAGCCAAGUAAACCAAGUACAGUACUGAUGGCCAAUCAAUGCUCAUGUUUCCUUCUGUUUUUAUCAGGUUGGCUGCAAGAAAUGUCAGUUACAUGGCAAUGGUGGGAAUCGGCCUACAUUUUUGUUCAAACAAUUGUCCCUCUUUAGAUCACAU